rnacentral:rRNA from 1 species
GACGAAGCGUGCAAACGUUGUUCGGAAUCACUGGGCUUAAAGGGCGCGUAGGCGGGCCAGCCAGUCUGUGGUGAAAUCCUCCAGCUUAACUGGAGAAGUGCCGUGGAUACUGCUGGCCUCGAGGAGGGUAGGGGCAUCUGGAACGGUCGGUGGAGCGGUGAAAUGCGUUGAUAUCGACCGGAACUCCGGUGGCGAAGGCGGUUCUCUGGGACGGUACUGACGCUGAGACGCGAAAGCGUGGGGAGCGAACAGG